GAAAUAUAUUAUAAUUAAGCUGCUAACUUAAUUAAUAGUGAAUAAUAUCN
rnacentral:tRNA from 1 species